ACCCCGCAGCGUACCUAUAAAGCUGGCGAGCGCCCCCUCGCCCUCUCUUUUCCUGGGGAACCUCCGCGCCGGCGGGUAUGAUGGAGAGGAGGUUUUCAGUGGUGUCCAAUACAUUGUACAGAAGCAUUAAGCCCUUCAUGGAAGCGCCAUCAGAAGUAGAAGAAUACUUGGUACACACAAGUGGAUUUUCCUGAAAGCUGUGUAUAAUGGCCUGAACAGUUUCUAACAAUGGGAAUGUCAGGUGUCCUGGUGAAAGAUUUCCUGGAAGCUGUAGUACAACAGAUAGAGGCAAUAUUACAAGUAGGAAGUGGAGUGACUUACAUGGUUGAUGUAAAGAAAGGUUGGAAGUAACAAGCCUUGCUAGUGUAACUAACCAGUGCAUUUUAUGUCUCUGCAGAGAUG